UUUAGAGUUUGAUCCUGGCUCAGGAUGAACGCUGGCGGUAUGCUUAACACAUGCAAGUCGAACGGAAUGCUUAGGCAUUUAGUGGCGGACGGGUGAGUAACGCGUGAGAAUUUGGCUUCAGGUCGGGGACAACAGUUGGAAACGACUGCUAAUACCGGAUGUGCCGGAAGGUGAAAGAUUUAUCGCCUGAAGAUAAGCUCGCGUCUGAUUAGCUAGUUGGUAGUGUAAGGGACUACCAAGGCGACGAUCAGUAGCUGGUCUGAGAGGAUGAUCAGCCACACUGGGACUGAGACACGGCCCAGACUCCUACGGGAGGCAGCAGUGGGGAAUUUUCCGCAAUGGGCGAAAGCCUGACGGAGCAAUACCGCGUGAGGGAGGAAGGCUCUUGGGUCGUAAACCUCUUUUCUCAAGGAAGAAUGCAAUGACGGUACUUGAGGAAUAAGCAUCGGCUAACUCCGUGCCAGCAGCCGCGGUAAUACGGAGGAUGCAAGCGUUAUCCGGAAUGAUUGGGCGUAAAGGGUCUGUAGGUGGUACUGAAAGUCUGCUGUUAAAGAGCAAGGCUCAACCUUGUAAGAGCAGUGGAAACUACAGAACUAGAGUGCGGUAGGGGCAAAAGGAAUUCCUGGUGUAGCGGUGAAAUGCGUAGAUAUCAGGAAGAACACCGGUGGCGAAAGCGUUUUGCUAGACCGCAACUGACACUGAGGGACGAAAGCUAGGGGAGCGAAUGGGAUUAGAUACCCCAGUAGUCCUAGCCGUAAACGAUGGAUACUAGGCGUGGCUUGAUCGACCCGAGCCGUAAACCGAAGCAAAAUACAAAUAAAAAAACUGCAGU
rnacentral:rRNA from 1 species